rnacentral:rRNA from 1 species
AAUAGAUACCCAGGUAGUCCACGCCGUAAACGAUGAGUGCUAAGUGUUAGAGGGUUUCCGCCCUUUAGUGCUGCAGCUAACGCAUUAAGCACUCCGCCUGGGGAGUACGGCCGCAAGGCUGAAACUCAAAGGAAUUGACGGGGGCCCGCACAAGCGGUGGAGCAUGUGGUUUAAUUCGAAGCAACGCGAAGAACCUUACCAGGUCUUGACAUCCUCUUGACCUCCCUAGAGAUAGGGAUUUCCCUUCGGGGACAGGAGUGACAGGUGGUGCAUGGUUGUCGUCAGCUCGUGUCGUGAGAUGUUGGGUUAAGUCCCGCAACGAGCGCAACCCUUGACCUUAGUUGCCAGCAUUCAGUUGGGCACUCUAAGGUGACUGCCGGUGACAAACCGGAGGAAGGUGGGGAUGACGUCAAAUCAUCAUGCCCCUUAUGACCUGGGCUACACACGUGCUACAAUGGAUGGUACAAAGGGCUGCAAGACCGCGAGGUUUAGCCAAUCCCAUAAAACCAUUCUCAGUUCGGAUUGUAGGCUGCUAACG